CUGUCUGUGGGAAUGACCUGGCUAUGGCUCAGUGUAGUCCUAAUUAAGGUGUCUUUUACUCCGUGUUCCCAGGCUGCCUCUUUCCCUUCGGUCGCCGUGUGUGCGGACGCCUCUGGCAGGACUAACCCUGUGGCUUUUAUGUCCAACGUGCUGUGCUGUGUGUGCCUGCAGGGGAAGACUUUCCAGGACUAACCCUGUGGCUUUUAUGUCCAACGUGCUGUGCUGUGUGUGCCUGCAGAAUUGCCACGAGAGGAAAUACUUCAGAGGGGCUUCCCUCCAGAUAAGGCCUGAAGAUGCCAGGAGGUUUCAGCCGGGAGGAAAGGAGCUGUGGAAGAAAAGCAGCCUAAAAACAGCCAGUGGGGAUCAUCAGGUUUUCCAGCCAAGAAGAACAAGGAGAGAGAUGAGGGAAUCGGGUUCCAAUUCCUAAUGCUUUGGUGGGUGCAGGAAUGAUUUCUGUGUGUUUUCCAGUCCCUUUGGAUUCCUGGGAUGAUUUUAAAAUGAUGGCUUUAGCAAUCAACUAAAUCGCAGAUGUUGUUUUUGAGAGGAAAUGAUGCCAAAGAAAUGCAGAGUUUUGGGUCAGUUUUGGGGAUGAUUUGGGUCAGUUUUUGGGGUCAGUUUGGGGUCAUUGUUUGGGGUGAUUUGGGUCAGCUUUUGGGAUGAUUUGGGUCAGUUUUGGGUCAGCUUUUGGGAUGAUUGGGGUCAGGUUUUGGGGUCAGUUUUGGGUCAGCUUUUGGGGUGAUUUGGGUCGGUUUUGGGUCAAUUUUUGGGGAGCACUGGGUGUUACUGGGGGUUGUUGAGGAGCACUGGGUGUUACUGGGGUGUACUGGGGAGCACUGGGUGUUACUGAGGGUUGUUGGGGAGCACUGGGUGUUACUGGGGAGCACUGGGAGAGAAAAUGAAAAAUAAAGAGAAUAAAAAAUAAACGAAGUAAAGAAGG
rnacentral:lncRNA from 1 species